AAAAUUAAAAAAUUGGACAAUUUAUAAAGACAACAAUUGUUUCUUUCUUUCGACUAUAUGAACUAUUUGGAGCAAAUGACCAUUUUACCCUUUUUUCACUUAUGUUUGGUUUAUUUUUAUUAUGUUCGCAUGAUGUAUAUAGGAGGCAUAUGGAAUGUUUCAUCAGAUUCAAGUAAUCAUGAUUUCUGUAAUUGUGAAGGACUGAAGAAAAAGAAUGAUACUGAAGGGGUAAAAGAUGAAGAAUUGCACAAACACUUAGGCUACAUUUGGCAUGGGUAAUCUAUGUUGAUUCCUCAAGUUAAUUAGCUAAUACCAUAUGAGUAAUGCACUUAAUCUUAUAUAAAUAGUGGCUAUUUUGCCCAUGUUGUGGUGUACAUGGUCUACUUAUAUCCAUUUCGAUUUAUUUGGAAAUAAGUCAAACGAAAAUCAUCAAAUAAGAUUUUUCGGUUUUAAACUUUGAAUUUGGUUAUGGAUUGAUUAUGUUACCACUAUCUUACUGCUAAAUAGUGUGAAUUAAGUUUAAAGGGAGAUUCUUUGUAAUUUAAGCCAAGUAGACAAAAAUUUGAUAAUUAUUUCUUGAAAUUAAAGAGAAGAAAAUACUACCAACUAAAUGUUAUACUAGAAAUUUCCAAAAUGGUAUUGAAUUGCAUAAUUAGGUUAUACGUAAAUGGUGCAAGUGGCCUAUUAGUUUAUUAGUCUUUCUAAGUUGCAAAACAUUUUGUAUUUUUUUAUUAAAACAUUCCUGUUUCAACUAAUAAUUUCAAGGUUCGGGUAACAUUCAUCACUUUUAUGUGACAGAAGCAAAACGGUCAAAUGGUGACCGAUUACUAGGUUAAAAAUUACUAUAAUUGUAAGAAAAUCGUAAUUACAUUGUUGUUAUUGGUAAAAGUUAAAGUAUAUUUCCUUUUUUCAUAAAACAUGUAAACUAAAUUGUUUCAAGUCACACAGGUAAAGUAUAUUUCCUACAAAGAGACCAUUUUUCUAAUUUACUCAAAGAAAAUCAGUUUUGUUCUGAUCUUUUUUAAAAUUUGUUGCACUGAUGUAUUUUCAUGACAUCAUGUGAUGCAUAUAUGUAUUCAACUGCGUUCAUUGAGCCAUUUCCUAUCAUUGACUUUGUCAGAACCUUUUGAAUAUGGAUGUUUCUGCAAGACCUUUAUCUGAUGCAAUAAAGAAUCAAAAAGGAACUAAGAGAAAUCAAGGUUGAAGUUACUGACCGCGGAAAUAUGCGGCGCAAAUAUCACAUAUCUGGUUUAAUAUCUCAUGCAGCAUGGGAAAUAAAGUGGCUCUAUUUUUCUAUAGGGAACGUGAGGAGGUAAAAGAACGAGAAGACAAGAUAGCUUUAACCAUGACUACCCAGACUAUGGUGGUGAUAUGCUUGGUGACAUUGGUGAUCAAUGGUUUGCUCAAAUUCCCAAU